rnacentral:lncRNA from 1 species
ACCUACAAAAUGGCUAAUAAAGGACUUUAAUCCCAUGGUCACAGUGACUAUUAAAAAUAUCAUGGAGCUCAGGAGGAGUGAAAGGGAACUGGCUGGACAGCAGGGGAUUCUCCAUGCCAUUUUCUUCACUGAUAUGAAGGACAGUGUCUCCAUGCUGCAAGAGGCUGGAGGUUUCAAGGCCAGUGAAGUCAUCCGGGUCUGACAGUUGAGUAGAGAGGGGGCUGUGUGCUACAGCACCUUGUACUUCCGUGUCCUCCUUUUGUUCUCCUUCUUCAGCAAGAAGGGGCUCACUCUGUGAUCAAAAGGAUCAUAGUAUCA